GUGUUUGCAUUAGCCGCACAUAUGCUAAAAUUGGAAUGAUACAGAGAAGAUUAGCAUGGACUCUGCUCAAGGGUGACACACAAAUUCAUGAAACAUUCCAUAUUUUU
rnacentral:snRNA from 1 species